UCUUUCGCGCGGCCGAAGAGUAAGAUUGGGCUUGCAAGCGGAAACGCGCCACAGCCGGUUCCGGUGGCCGCAUCGGCGGCAAAAGCGGCGGGAUGGAGGAGGCGCCUCACGACUGUCCGGGGGCCGACAGCGCCCAGGCGGGCCGAGGGACCUCAUGUCAGGGAUGCCCCAACCAGCGGCUGUGCGCCUCUGGAGCCGGCGCUGCUCCGGACCCGGCCAUCGAGGAAAUCAAAGAGAAAAUGAAGACCGUGAAGCACAAGAUCUUGGUGCUGUCCGGGAAAGGCGGCGUUGGGAAGAGCACAUUCAGUGCCCACCUUGCCCAUGGCCUGGCAGAGGAUGAAAACACACAGAUUGCUCUUCUAGACAUCGACAUAUGUGGGCCGUCUAUUCCCAAGAUAAUGGGACUGGAAGGGGAACAGGUUCACCAGAGCGGCUCAGGCUGGUCUCCAGUGUACGUGGACGACAACCUGGGGGUGAUGUCAGUGGGUUUCUUGCUCAGCAGUCCCGACGACGCCGUGAUCUGGAGGGGACCAAAGAAGAAUGGCAUGAUCAAGCAGUUCCUCCGUGACGUGGACUGGGGCGAAGUUGACUUCCUCAUCGUGGACACCCCGCCCGGGACGUCGGACGAGCACCUCUCGGUGGUCCAGUACCUGGCCGCAGCGCACAUCGACGGUGCCGUGAUCAUCACCACGCCCCAGGAAGUGUCGCUCCAGGAUGUCCGCAAGGAGAUCAACUUCUGCCACAAGGUGAAGCUGCCCAUCAUCGGGGUGGUGGAGAACAUGAGUGGCUUCAUCUGCCCCAAGUGUAAGAAGGAGUCUCAGAUAUUCCCCCCCACCACCGGCGGUGCGGCAGCCAUGUGCCAGGACCUGAAGGUCCCGCUCCUCGGCAGAGUGCCUCUGGAUCCGCACAUAGGUGGGAAAGAGCUGUGACAAAGGCCAGUCUUUUUUUACUGAAGCACCUGACUCACCAGCCACGUUAGCCUACAGAAGUAUAAUCCAGAGAAUCCAAGAGUUCUGUGGUUUCCAGCAGUCGAAAGAAGAGACCCUCACCAGUUCCUGAAACGGGAGUGCUGAGGACCCAGUUAGCGGCUGCGGAACCUGUGAGGGCCAGGCAAAAAGGGACCAGACUGCCAUGGUUGAAGUCACUGUCUCAGUCUGUGCACUCUGCUUUAGGACCUCUGGAAAGGGCGUUCCUUGCCAGUGCGCCGUUUUAAUUUAAACACAUCUCCUCAGACCUCUCUUCCGAGGCCUCCUUCACGUGAAAAAUAAACGGAUGGUGGGACUCAGGA